rnacentral:rRNA from 1 species
UACAGAGGGGGCAAGCGUUGUUCGGAAUUACUGGGCGUAAAGGGCGCGUAGGCGGCCUUCUAAGUCGAACGUGAAAUCCCCGGGCUCAACCCGGGAACUGCGUCCGAUACUGGAAGGCUUGAAUCCGGGAGAGGGAUGCGGAAUUCCGAGGUGUAGCGGUGAAAUGCGUAGAUAUCUGGAGGAACACCGGUGGCGAAGGCGGCGAUCCUGGA